UACAGAGGUUGCAAGCGUUAAUCGGAUUUACUGGGCGUAAAGCGUGUGUAGGUGGCUGUACAAGUCGGUUGUGAAAUCCCCGGGCUCAACCUGGGAACUGCUUCCGAGACUGUACGACUAGAGAUCGGUAGAGGGCGGUGGAAUUUCCGGUGUAGCGGUGAAAUGCGUAGAUAUCGGAAGGAACAUCAAUGGCGAAGGCAGCCGCCUGGGCCUGAUCUGACACUGAGACACGAAAGCGUGGGGAUCAAACAGG
rnacentral:rRNA from 1 species